AGUGAACGCUGGCGGUAGGCCUAACACAUGCAAGUCGAACGGCAGCACAGUAAGAGCUUGCUCUUACGGGUGGCGAGUGGCGGACGGGUGAGGAAUACAUCGGAAUCUACUUUUUCGUGGGGGAUAACGUAGGGAAACUUACGCUAAUACCGCAUACGACCUACGGGUGAAAGCAGGGGAUCUUCGGACCUUGCGCGAGUGAAUGAGCCGAUGUCUGAUUAGCUAGUUGGCGGGGUAGAGGCCCACCAAGGCUAGGAUCGGUAGCCGGACUGAGAGGGUGACCGGCCACAUUGGGACUGAGAUACGGCCCAGACGCCUACGGGAGGCAGCAGUGGGGAAUAUUGCACAAUGGGCGGAAGCCGGAUGCAGCAACGCCGGGUGCGGGAUGACGGCCUUCGGGUUGUAAACCGCUUUCGCCUGUGACGAAGCGUGAGUGACGGUAAUGGGUAAAGAAGCACCGGCUAACUACGUG
rnacentral:rRNA from 1 species